rnacentral:sRNA from 1 species
GCCGCUGCCCACUUUGGGCGUUUCCUCCCUUAGACUUGGGCCGCCCGGUUCACCCGGCGGCCCCUUUUUCUUG